UCUAAAAGAAAAACUAAGAGUUGUAUUUACAAUCUCUUGAAAUCUCACCACUAUUAUUACUGUAAUUUAAUUUUUUCCUCUCUCUCUGCGCAACCAAAUGCAUGAACUUCCCCACGCGACAGUUUCCUUCUUCCCUUUUCUCUAUGACGUGAGUUACUGAGAAUCUUCAUUAGGGUUUGUGAAAGAAUCAUGUCGAGCGCGUUAAGCUAGAGACACCAUGUCGUGAUUCAAGCUUUGUUGUCACGAGGCCUGCUCAUGGAGAAGGACUUGCACUCCAUGUUUGAAGAAUUCACCAAAAGAAACCUAGAAAUGUGUUAUUCUCCAUGAGUUCAGCGGGUGUUGCCAAUUACCAAUAAGGCACUGAUCCGCAACUGUCUGUGCUUAGUUGUGCUAAUUUUGAGUUGCGUGCCUGCAUAGAUCAAUAUGAUGGUCAAGUUUAUUAUGGGGUGGUGAAUACUGUUUCAGAUGAACAUUCCAAGUUAGGCACGAAGUAUACUGUUCCUCAAAUUGCCCUUUAUAAGGCCAUUGUAAGUUUUGCUUUACUAGCUUGUGUUUUUUUUGUCUGUUGGUGUACAUAUGUGAAUAUGUACUAGGCUUUACAAAUUGGUUUGUGUAAUGCUUUUAGUUUUUGCGGUUCUGUGUCUUCCAGUUGUGCACCUGUGUUUGUCACUGGGUGCAUAGUAGAUAUAAUAGAAAGAGAA